GGGGUCUUAGCUCAGCUGGGAGAGCAUCUGCCUUACAAGCAGAGGGUCAUAGGUUCGAGCCCUAUAGGCCCC
rnacentral:tRNA from 2 species